AAGCGGAUCUAGGGAUGCUUCUG
rnacentral:miRNA from 1 species